rnacentral:lncRNA from 1 species
ACAGGCAAUUGCUCAUAUACGAACAAUUUCGUGAAUAAUAAUAAUAUCAUUCAAGCUCCAAAAUAUAAAUCACCACAUCCAAAAAAUAACAGUACCAUCAUCAUCCAAAAAAAUAACAGGAUCAUCAUCAUCUAAAAAAUAAUAGAGCUAUCAUCAAAUAAUAAAAAACAGCACCAUCAUCAUCCAACAAAAAAAACAUAACAUAUUAGCAAAGCAUGAGUGCAAUCUUUACAUGAAUUAACUCUCAAC